rnacentral:lncRNA from 12 species
CUUACAAAAGUUCUGAUACCUGGAUUCCAUCCUAGCAAGACUAAAGCAGGAUCUCAGGAGGUGGGAUGGGGACCUGCGCUGCCUGAGUCUACAGGAGCCACCAAGUGCUUGCAAGGCAGUUAGGGUUGAGAAAUACUCUUAGAGAGCUUGUGGGAUUAACGAGUGUCCCUCCGACAACCCCACCAAAUUGAUGGUUACCCUGAGCCAGAGGAUAAGAUCUUAUCUGGAAUCAGGGUCCUUGCAGAAGUAAUUAGCUGAAUUUGUACUAUAGUGGGGUGGGCCCUAGGUCCAAUGACUGGGGUCCUUAUAAAAAGAGGUGAGGAGAUGCAGAGAUGCACCUAGAGAAGAAGGUCAUGUACAAUGGAGAAAGCUUUGGCGUGAUGCCACUAUGAGCUAGAGAAUGCCUGGGGUCACCAGAGGCCGGAGAGGCAAGGGGGGGAGCCUACCUUAGAGCCUUCAGAGGGAGCCCGGCCUGGCUGACACUUUGAUUUCUAGCUUCUAGCCUCUAGGACUAUGAGAAAUUAAAUUUCUGUUGUUUUAAGCCACCUAGUUUGCCAGUAAUUCCAACAGGCCUAGGAAAUGAACUCAGGAGGGAUUUAUAAUACCUGACUUAUAGUUGUUAUAAAUACCUAUAAGUAUUUUUAUUACUUAUAGGUAAUAGUAUUAUAAAUACCUACAAGUAUACCUAUAAAUGCCUCUUUUUUUUUUUUUUUUUACUAAGGUGCAAACAGAUUUAUAUGCAAAGGAUCUCAUUAGGGGCUCAUGUUCUCAUAAGGAUUUGAAGUGGCAGAAAGUGCUCUACAACACACUGGGUAAGCCUCAAUAAGAAGUUCUUCAUCUGACUUCCAAAAAGUCUGCGGGAAAGGCUCGCUUGGAGGAAUGCAGUGGAGAUGUCCGGCAUCUGGACAUUCCUUCCGCGUGAUGGCACACAUCUGGCUCUUUGGAAUGAGCAGAACAUUUCCCUUCCAGUUUCCCUCCAGAUGUCUGAGGGUACGGAGAUACAGCCCAAGAGUGCAUGGAGUUGAGUUCAUCACACUGCUCAGCUUAUGGUAAGUGGGAGGAUUGAAGGAGGGUUCUCAGUUUAUUAUUCUCUGGUAAAGCAGCCCAGAAUUCAGAUGGUUGGUCUUUUUAUUGUCUUUGUCCUUUCUGUUUCUAUCCAUAUUCUUAAACAUUUAAGAUAACCCAAAAAUAUUUAGACUAUUUGCUCUGUCUUUAGCUAGGUGAGGAAAAUAAACCUUUACUUGAGUCAGAGCA